UACGUAGGGGGCUAGCGUUGUCCGGAAUCAUUGGGCGUAAAGCGCGUGUAGGCGGUCCGGUAAGUCCGCUGUGAAAGUCGGGGGCUCAACCCUCGAAUGCCGGUGGAUACUGUCGGGCUAGAGUGCGGAAGAGGCGAGUGGAAUUCCUGGUGUAGCGGUGAAAUGCGCAGAUAUCAGGAGGAACACCAAUUGCGAAGGCAGCUUGCUGGGACGUUACUGACGCUGAGACGCGAAAGCGUGGGGAGCAAACAGG
rnacentral:rRNA from 1 species